GCCAGGCAUGGUGGUGCACACCUGUAGUCCCACCUACUCUGAAGGCUCAGGCAGAAGAAUCUUUUGCGCUCAGAAGUUUGAGGCAGCCUGAGCAACACAGUGAGACUCAUGUU
rnacentral:sRNA from 1 species